rnacentral:tRNA from 1 species
GCCCUUAUAGCUCAGUGGUAGAGCGCGUCACUAGUACUUCCCAAGGUAUGACGAGGCCCGUCGUUCGAAUCGGCGUAAGGGCU